rnacentral:rRNA from 1 species
UACGUAGGGUGCAAGCGUUUAUCCGGAAUUAUUGGGCGUAAAGAGCUCGUAGGCGGUUUGUCGCGUCUGCUGUGAAAACCUAAGGCUCAACCUUGGGCUUGCAGUGGGUACGGGCAGACUAGAGUGCGGUAGGGGGUGACUGGAAUUCCUGGUGUAGCGGUGGAAUGCGCAGAUAUCAGGAGGAACACCGAUGGCGAAGGCAGGUCACUGGGCCGCAACUGACGCUGGAGGAGCGGAAAGCAUGGGGGAGCGAAACAGG